rnacentral:rRNA from 1 species
CCUGCGGAAGGAUCAUUGUCGA